AUUGAACGCUGCGGCAUGCCUUACACAUGCAAGUCGAACGGUAACAGGUCUUCGGAUGCUGACGAGUGGCGAACGGGUGAGUAAUACAUCGGGAAACGUGCCCGAUCGUGGGGGAUAACGGAGCGAAAGCUUUGCUAAUACCGCAUACGAUCUACGGAUGAAAGCAGGGGACCGCAAGGCCUUGCGCGGACGGAGCGGCCGAUGGCAGAUUAGGUAGUUGGUGGGAUAAAAGCUUACCAAGCCGACGAUCUGUAGCUGGUCUGAGAGGACGACCAGCCACACUGGGACUGAGACACGGCCCAGACUCCUACGGGAGGCAGCAGUGGGGAAUUUUGGACAAUGGGCGCAAGCCUGAUCCAGCCAUGCCGCGUGCAGGAUGAAGGCCUUCGGGUUGUAAACUGCUUUUGUACGGAACGAAAAGACUCUUUCUAAUAAAGAGGGUCCAUGACGGUACCGUAAGAAUAAGCACCGGCUAACUACGUG
rnacentral:rRNA from 1 species